GGAGAGAUGACAGAGCGGUAAUGUAGCCCGUUGCUAACCGGUAAACUGUAACAGGUUCCAGGGUUCGAUUCCCUGUCUCUCCG
rnacentral:tRNA from 1 species